rnacentral:rRNA from 1 species
UUCGACCUCAAAUCAGGUAGGACUACCCGCUGAACUUAAGCAUAUCAAUAAGCGGAGGAAAAGAAACCAACAGGGAUUGCCUUAGUAGCGGCGAGUGAAGCGGCAAAAGCUCAAAUUUGAAAUCUGGCACUUUCAGUGUCCGAGUUGUAAUUUGAAGAAGGUAUCUUUGGGUCUGGUCUUGUCUACGUUGUU